AUACCCGGGGAUACCAUGCAGUCGUACGAGAACGCUUCAGCUUGCUGAAGCUAGUAGUGGCGCACGGGUGAGUAACGCGUGGGUAAUCUACCCUCGAAUUGGGGAUAACAUCGCGAAAGCGAUGCUAAUACCGAAUGACAUCGUAAAUAUCUUGAUGUUUAUGAUCAAAGAUGGCCUCUACAUGUAAGCUAUUGUUUGGGGAUGAGCCCGCGUACCAUUAGCUUGUUGGUAGGGUAAUGGCCUACCAAGGCUACGAUGGUUAGCUGGUCUGAGAGGAUGAUCAGCCACACUGGAACUGACACACGGUCCAGACUCCUACGGGAGGCAGCAGUGAGGAAUUUUGCGCAAUGGGGGAAACCCUGACGCAGCAACGCCGCGUGAGUGAUGAAGGCUUUCGGGUCGUAAAGCUCUGUCAAGUGGGAAGAAACCAUAUGGUGACAAUACCACCAUAUGCUGACGGUACCACUGAAGGAAGGCACCGGCUAACUCCGUGCCAGCAGCCGCGGUAAUACGGGGGGUGCAAGCGUUAUUCGGAAUUACUGGGCGUAAAGAGCGCGUAGGCGGUCUUUUAAAGUCAGAUGUGAAAGCCGGGGCUCAACCCCGGAAGUGCAUCUGAUACUGCUCGACUUGAGUAUGGGAGAGGGAAGUGGAAUUCCUGGUGUAGCGGUGAAAUGCGUAGAUAUCAGGAGGAACACCGGUGGCGAAGGAGACUUCCUGGACCAAUACUGACGCUGAGGCGCGAAGGCGUGGGGAGCAAACAGGAUUAGAUACCCUGGUAGUCCACGCAGUAAACGGUGAUCACUAGGUGUAGCGGGUAUUGACCCCUGCUGUGCCGCAGCUAACGCAUUAAGUGAUCCGCCUGGGGAGUACGACCGCAAGGUUAAACUCAAAGGAAUUGACGGGGGCCCGCACAAGCGGUGGAGCAUGUGGUUUAAUUCGACGCAACGCGAAGAACCUUACCUGGAUUUGACAUCCCGAGAAUCUUUUUGAAAGAUUAGAGUGCCCUUCGGGGAGCCCGGUGACAGGUGCUGCAUGGCUGUCGUCAGCUCGUGUCGUGAGAUGUUGGGGUUAAGUCCCGCAACGAGCGCAACCCCUAUCUUUAGUUACCAUCAAUUCGGUUGGGGACUCUAGAGAUACUGCCCCGGUUAACGGGGAGGAAGGUGGGGAUGACGUCAAGUCCUCAUGGCCUUUAUGUCCAGGGCUACACACGUGCUACAAUGGGCUGUACAAAGGGUCGCGACCCCGCGAGGGUGAGCCAAUCCCAUAAAGCAGUCCUAAGUUCGGAUUGGAGUCUGCAACUCGACUUCAUGAAGCUGGAAUCGCUAUAAUCGCGAUCACAC
rnacentral:rRNA from 1 species